rnacentral:rRNA from 1 species
UGGGGAAUUUUGCACAAUGGGCGCAAGCCUGAUGCAGCGACGCCGCGUGAGGGAUGAAGGCCUUCGGGUUGUAAACCUUUUUCGCUCAUGGUCAAGCCGCAGCUUUGGGUUGUGGUGAGGGUAGUGGGUAAAGAAGCGCCGGCUAACUACGUGCCAGCAGCCGCGGUAAUAUGUAGGGCGCGAGCGUUGUCCGGAAUUAUUGGGCGUAAAGGGCUUGUAGGCGGUUGGCCGCGUCUGCCGUGAAAUCCUCUGGCUUAACUGGGGGCGGGCGGUGGGUACGGGUUGACUUGAGUGCGGUAGGGGAGACUGGAGUUCCUGGUGUAGCGGUGGAAUGCGCAGAUAUCAGGAGGAAGACCGGUGGCGAAGGCGGGUCUCUGGGCCGUUACUGACGCUGAGGAGCGAAAGCGUGGGGAGCGAACAGG